rnacentral:rRNA from 1 species
GAUAAUCUGUUUGAUUGUCUCUCCCAUUGGAUAACCGUGGGAAAUCUAGAGCUAAUACGUGCAGUUCAUUGGCUCAUCUUCGGGUGGGUCAAAGCAUUUAUUAGACUAAACCAUCUACUAUGCUUGCAUAGUAAGGGGAAUCUGGAUAACUUUGCUGAUCGUAUGGCCUCGUGCCGGCGACGUUUCAAUUGAGUUUCUGCCCUAUCAACUUGUUGGUAAGGUAUUGGCUUACCAAGGUUGCAACGGGUAACGGGGAAUCAGGGUUCGAUUCCGGAGAGGGAGCCUGAGAAACGGCUACCACAUCCAAGGAAGGCAACAGGCGCGCAAAUUACCCAAUCUAGACAGUAGGAGGUGGUGAAGAGAAUUACUAGGUGGUGACUCAGUGAGUUACCAGUUUGGAAUGAACGUAACUUAAGAAAUUCGAUGAGAAACAACUGGAGGGCAAGUCCUGGUGCCAGCAGCCGCGGUAAUUCCAGCUCCAGUAGUUUGCUUUAAAGUUGUUGCGUUUAAAACGCUCGUAGUUGGAUCACGCAGCAGUGCUCAGUAAUCUGCUGCCUGACUUCGACCAAUGAAACCCACUUCUGUGGCCUUUCGGUAGCUGUCGGCAGUAGAUGCCAACGCUGAGCACUGUUAGUUGCACGUGAGAUGAAUUGUUGGCCUUUAUUGAGCCGGUAUUCUCGUCUUGCGGAGUGUGCCUUGAAUAAAACAGAGUGCUUAAAGCAGGUCAUUGCCUGAAUGUUAUAGCAUGGAACGAACAAUCGUGUAUAUGUAUGCAUCCUUGAAUGGUGAUGAGCCUUAGGUUUGUUGUUACUCAGGAUGCAUACGGCACCCACCAAAAUAUGGCUGUUGGUUCCAUAUACGGUGAUGAUUAAAAGGAGCGGUUGGGGGCAUCGGUAUUUGGCCGCGAGAGGUGAAAUUCUUAGACCGGCCAAGGACUAACAAAUGCAAAGGCACUUGUCUAGACCGUUUCCAUUAAUCAAGAACGAAAGUGGGAGGUUCGAAGACGAUCAGAUACCGUCCUAGUUCCCACUGUAAACUAUGCCGACCUGGGAUCAGUUUAGAGAUGUUACAAGCUCUAGAUUGGUCCCCCUGGGAAACCUGAAGUUUUUCGGUUACGGGGAGAGUAUGGUCGCAAGGCUGAAACUUAAAGGAAUUGACGGAAGGGCACCACCAGGGGUGGAGCCUGCGGCUUAAUUUGACUCAACACGGGGAAACUUACCUGGUCCGGACAUCGAUAGGAUUAACAGAUCGAUAGCUCUUUUAUGAUGCGAUGAGUGGUGGUGCAUGGCCGUUCUUAGUUCGUGGAGUGAUCUGUCGGCCUAAUUGCGGUAACGAACGAGACCAUAGUCUCCAUUUAAGAAAUAGAAGCAGACGAAGGGCGGCGUGAAUCGCAAGAUUCAACUCGUCCAGCGUUGUAGGUCGGAUUAUGCGUUGCAUUGUCAGAGUCUUGGGGUCAAACCUGAGGUUUUGAUGGUGCGAUGUAUUUUCUCCCUUCUAUUAAGCAGCAAUUGGUUUCGACUGAUUGUUGCCUUAUGGAGAGACAACGAGGUAUAAACAAGCUCGAGGAAGAGUGGCUAUAACAGG